UUAUUAAAUUAAGGGCUUUAAAUGUUGUUUUAUAAUAAUAUUGGGUACUUCAGAAUCAAAUAACAGUAAAAAGCUUAAUUGCGUUUUCUGUUAAAUGUAUAAUUUUAGAAAACUAAGAGAAAAGAAAACUAAUUUAGAAAACCAAGGAGUUUUUGACAAUAAAGUUUUUUCUUUACACAUGUAUAUCUGUGGCAGAACUAUUGUAGAUGUGCAGCAAAACUAAAGACUUCAAGUCAAUUCAAUGCAAGAAUGCCACUAGAUAGCCAUUUUGAAAUUCAAGUUGAACACGAAAAUGAACACCAAGUGAACCGACCAAAUUAAUAAAUAAGCUUCACUGGACACGGUAAACGCUUCGUGAACUAUUUCUGUCGUCGAUAUGGGUGGCACGACUCUGUAAAUCAACAUAAUUCGUUCCUGGAAAUCUUGAUUGGCUGGUUAAAUAAAUAUGUAGUUAUAAUGAAGUUCAAACGAAGAUAUCUUCCUGUUGAAUUCACAGCUAAAAUAGCCUAGCUCAUACCUAUCAUAGAUAAUGUAAACAAAUUGUUAAAUAAGUUUUUUAAUCCAGCUGCGUUCAUGUUGUAUAUUAAACGUAUAAUUUGUAGUGCAUAAUAA